rnacentral:lncRNA from 1 species
CAACACGUCAUCAAUGUCUCCCUCGCCCUCGCUCUUCUCCCUAACCACGACGAGAGAAGGUCCACCUGAUUUGGAUCUACAGCGGGGCGGGUGCCGGAGAGCUCCUAUGGCUGUAUUGAUCUGGGAGGACGAGGAUAUAGAGGAGAUAGGUUUUCCCCUUAAAUCAUUUUGGAGCUCGGACCUGCUGCACUUGCGCCAAUGUUCAUGAGUAAGUAAAAAAACAGCCCGUUGACCUGGCCGCCUCCCUCGCAUAAGCCCAAGCCGCCUCCGUCGACCGUGGUUCCCGGCGGUUUCUUCUUCCGACGAUAUCAGCGACACUCCUGGUCCCGAUCGUCUCCCUCGCUGCAUAGCCCUCUCGCCAGGUCGUUUCGUUGCUUUGAACCAUCGAGGAUAUAUUUUUACAUCCUGCUUUUUCUAUCAAGAUCAGGUCGCUGAAGCACUUGGAACAAUCGUAGCUUGCUUUUGAAACGUUACAUCCCCUAAAGGACCAGCA